GCAUAUCAAUAAGCGGAGGAAAAGAAACUAACCAGGAUUCCCCUAGUAACGGCGAGUGAACCGGGACUAGCCCAACUUGAAAAUCCUUUCGAGGAAUUGUAGUCUAUAGAAGCAUCCUCAGCGGCGGCUCAAUCCCAAGUCCGAUGGAAGUCGGCGUCAGAGAGGGUGAAAACCCCGUCGGAUUGCUGUUCGUUGCUCCACGAGGUGCUUUCCAAGAGUCGGGUUGCUUGGGAAUGCAGCCCAAAAUGGGAGGUAAAUCCCUUCCAAGGCUAGAUACUGGCGAGAGACCGAUAGCGAACAAGUACCGUGAGGGAAAGAUGAAAAGAACUUUGAAAAGAGAGUUAAAAAGUGCUUGAAAUUGUUGAGGGGGAAGCGUUUGAUUGCUGUGUAUGCGCCUGGGCUGAUGGGUCUUUAACGANGCUCUGUAAGUGCCAGGUGCUGGUCAACAUGGAUUCGAUGGGCGGGAUAAACGCAGGCGGUGAUACCCUGCUUAUACCGUCUGUUGGAUCAAGGCUUGAAUGCCGCUUUGUCCUAUGGAACUGCGGUAUCAAGAUGUUGGCAGAAGGCAAUCAAACGGCCCGUCUUGAAACACGGACCAAGGAGUCCAACAUGUAUGCGAGUCGGUGGGUGACAAACCCAUGAGGCGCAAGUAACCUGACUGUUGGUGGGAACCCUUUACCGGGUGCACCAUCGACCGACCAUGAGCUUUUGCGAAAGGUUUGAGUACGAGCAUAAAUGUUGGGACCCGAAAGAUGGUGAACUAUGCCUGAGCAGGGCGAAGCCAGAGGAAACUCUGGUGGAGGCUCGUAGAUGUGCUGACGUGCAAAUCGCUUUUCGGACUUGGGCAUAGGGGCGAAAGACUAAUCGAACCAUCUAGUAGCUGGUUCCCUCCGAAGUUUCCCCCAGGAUAGCGAGAUCUCAUUGAAUCAGUUUUGUCGGGUAAAGCGAAUGAUUAGCGGUUCGGGGGCUGAAUCAGCCUUCACCGAUUCUCAAACUUUAAAUAGGCAAGACGCGUUGGGUUUCUUAAUUGAACCCUCGCAAUCAAUGUGAGCUCUCAGUGGGCCAUUUUUGGUAAGCAGAACUGGCGAUCGGGAUGAACCGAUAGUCGAGUUAAGGUGCCAAACUAUGCACUCACCUAGAUCCCACAAAGGGUGUUGAUUGAUAUAGACAGCAGGACGGUGGUCAUGGAAGUCGAAAUCCGCUAAGGAGUGUGUAACAACUCACCUGCCGAAUCAAUUAGCCCCGAAAAUGGAUGGCGCUGAAGUGCAUGACCUAUACUCGGCCAUUGAAGUGAGUGCGACACUUCAAUGAGUAGGAGGGCGUGGAUGUCGAUACGAAGCUUGAGGCGUGAGCCUGAGUGAAUCGGCAUCUAGUGCAGAUCUUGGUGGUAGUAGCAAAUAUUCAAAUGAGAACUUUGAAGACUGAAGUGGAGAAUGGUUCCAUGUGAACAGCAAUUGGACAUGGGUGAGUCGAUCCUAAGAGAUGGGGUAAUCCUGUGUGAAGAGAGCAUUUAUUGCUCAACCCAUCGAAAGGGAAAGGGGUUAAAAUUCCCCUACUUCGAACAGGCGGUUGACGGUAACGUAAGCGAGCCCGGAGACACCGGUAUCGGCCCUGGGAAGAGUUCUCUUUUCUUUUUAACAGCUCGAAGACCCUGGAAUCGAAUCAUUCGGAGAUAGGGUCUAGUAGCUGGUAAAGCAUCACAUUUCUUGUGGUGUCCGGUGCGCCGAUAACGGUCCUUGAAAAUCCGGGGGAGCAAAUACCGAUCUGUCGAAGUCGUACACAUAACCGCAUCAGGUCUCCAANGUGAACAGCCUCUANUCGAUGGAACAAUGUACAUAAGGGAACUCGGCAAAAUGGAUCCGUAACUUCGGGAAAAGGAUUGGCUCUGAGGAUUGGGCCUAGGGGUCUGUACUUUGAAGCUCGCUGCUGUCGAUGGUCUGCUUUACUGGCAACGGUGAAGUGGGCCGUUGCGUGCGGUGGGUGGAAGGGUACAGAAGGCCCGUCAAACGGUCGUUCCCUAGGCAAUGAACAAUCAACUCAGAACUGGUACGGACAAGGGGAAUCCGACUGUUUAAUUAAAACAAAGCAUUGUGAUGGCGCCAAAGCGUGUUGACACAAUGUGAUUUCUGCCCAGUGCUCUGA
rnacentral:rRNA from 1 species